rnacentral:rRNA from 1 species
UUAGAGUUUGAUCCUGGCUCAGAACGAACGCUGGCGGCAGGCUUAACACAUGCAAGUCGAACGCAUCCUUCGGGGUGAGUGGCAGACGGGUGAGUAACGCGUGGGAACGUGCCCUUCAGUUCGGGAUAACCCAGGGAAACUUGGGCUAAUACCGGAUACGUGCGAGAGCAGAAAGAUUUAUCGCUGAAGGAUCGGCCCGCGUCUGAUUAGCUAGUUGGUGGGGUAAUGGCCCACCAAGGCGACGAUCAGUAGCUGGUCUGAGAGGAUGAUCAGCCACAUUGGGACUGAGACACGGCCCAAACUCCUACGGGAGGCAGCAGUGGGGAAUAUUGGACAAUGGGCGCAAGCCUGAUCCAGCCAUGCCGCGUGAGUGAUGAAGGCCUUAGGGUUGUAAAGCUCUUUCGUCCGGGACGAUAAUGACGGUACCGGAAGAAGAAGCCCCGGCUAACUUCGUGCCAGCAGCCGCGGUAAUACGAAGGGGGCUAGCGUUGUUCGGAAUCACUGGGCGUAAAGGGCGCGUAGGCGGCUUUGUAAGUCGGGGGUGAAAGCCUGUGGCUCAACCACAGAAUUGCCUUCGAUACUGCAUGGCCUUGAGACCGGAAGAGGUAAGUGGAACUGCGAGUGUAGAGGUGAAAUUCGUAGAUUUCGCAAGAACACCAGUGGCGAAGGCGGCUUACUGGUCCGGUUCUGACGCUGAGGCGCGAAAGCGUUGGGGAGCAAAACAGGAUUAGAUACCCUGGUUAUGUCCAACGCCGUAACCGAUGAAUGGCCCAGCCCGGUUUGGGGCAGCUUGCUUGCCUCCAAGUGGGGCGCCACGUAACGCUUUAAGCAUUCCGCCUGGGGAGUACGGUCGCAAGAUAAAACUCAAAGGAAUUUGACGGGGGCCCGCACAAGCGGUGGAGCAUGUGGUUUAAUUCGAAGCAACGCGCAGAACCUUACCAGCCUUUGACAUGUCCCGUAUGGGCAGUGGAGACACUGCUCUUCAGUUCGGCUGGCGGGAACACAGGUGCUGCAUGGCUGUCGUCAGCUCGUGUCGUGAGAUGUUGGGUUAAGUCCCGCAACGAGCGCAACCCUCGCCCCUAGUUGCCAUCAUUCAGUUGGGCACUNUAGGGGGACUGCCGGUGAUAAGCCGAGAGGAAGGUGGGGAUGACGUCAAGUCCUCAUGGCCCUUACGGGCUGGGCUACACACGUGCUACAAUGGCGGUGACAAUGGGCAGCUAACCCGCGAGGGCAACCAAUCCCAAAAACCGUUCAGUUCGGAUUGCACUCUGCAACUCGAGUGCAUGAAGGUGGAAUCGCUAGUAAUCGUGGAUCAGAACGCCACGGUGAAUACGUUCCCGGGCCUUGUACACACCGCCCGUCACACCAUGGGAGUUGGUCUUACCCGACGGCGCUGCGCCAACCGCAAGGAGGCAGGCGACCACGGUAGGGUCAGCGACUGGGGUGAAGUCGUAACAAGGUAGCCGUAGGGGAACCUGCGGCUGGAUCACCUCC